GGGUUGUGAGGUUAAGCGACUAAGCGUACACGGUGGAUGCCCUGGCAGUCAGAGGCGAUGAAGGGCGUGCUAAUCUGCGAUAAGCGCCGGUAAGGUGAUAUGAACCGUUAUAACCGGCGAUACCCGAAUGGGGAAACCCAGUGUGACUCGUCACACUAUCAUUAACUGAAUCCAUAGGUUAAUGAGGCGAACCGGGGGAACUGAAACAUCUAAGUACCCCGAGGAAAAGAAAUCAACCGAGAUUCCCCCAGUAGCGGCGAGCGAACGGGGAGGAGCCCAGAGCCUGAAUCAGCAUGUGUGUUAGUGGAAGCGUCUGGAAAGGCGCGCGAUACAGGGUGACAGCCCCGUACACAAAAGCGCAUGUGCUGUGAGCUCGAUGAGUAGGGCGGGACACGUGGUAUCCUGUCUGAAUAUGGGGGGACCAUCCUCCAAGGCUAAAUACUCCUGACUGACCGAUAGUGAACCAGUACCGUGAGGGAAAGGCGAAAAGAACCCCGGCGAGGGGAGUGAAAAAGAACCUGAAACCGUGUACGUACAAGCAGUGGGAGCCCCACCACCAAAGCAUUUGCUGUACCGCGUUGACGGAGCGAAGCGACGUCAAACCGAUAAAACAGCAGUGUAAAGUGAGCCGCAGGGCGCUUUGCGCGACAGCGCAAAGGCAGGCGGUUUCGCGU
rnacentral:rRNA from 1 species